rnacentral:lncRNA from 10 species
CUCAGAUCUCUUUAGUUGAAAAGCCUGGGCUUUUAAUAACUACUACUUUAUUCUCUCAGUCUAGGAAGUGAUGUUUUGAUGGCAGCUGGAGUGAAUGCUCUUGAAAUCCACUUCCUGAUUCUUCCUUCUCUCCCGAGCCUUACUUCCUGUUUUCUGACCUCUUCUGGGAACAACCUGAGUUUCAAGUGCCAGAUUAGGUGCUCUGAAACCUAGAAAAACAGGUUCAGGUCUCUUCAGCUUGGUCUUGUCAGGACUCCAGGGCUGAACGAGGCCCAAGAAUCAGAGGACCAAAUGCCGAGGCAGUCUCAGGCAGCUCCGACAGUCCGGGACGCCAGGCCCAGCAGUCCUACAGUUGCCCUCUUGAAUCAGUCGGGUCCAGAGAUGAGCAGCAGCUGUUACCUAGGCUAUGUCAGGGCCAGGAGCCAAGAAACCACACUGUUGACAGAGGCAGAGCUGUGGGACCAACGGAUUAGACUGUAUCAUUUUGAAUCUAAGCUGCAUCCUCUGCAAUCAGUGGCCUCUGCUGUCCCAGAGGUUUCUGUUUGUUUGGGGUUGGGAGGAUUUGCUCGGAUUAGCGUAGAGAUUGUCUGUUCACCGGGGAAAGGGGCCCAGUGACUGACGAUGGACCAGCUGGAAUGCAGUCAGCUUGGCUCCUCCCAUGAACCACAGCUCUGGAGUGACACAGCGCUUCUGCUGGCUCCAGCAGCAACAGGCGCCUGCCUGUAAGCACGACGGUGGGAAUGACAUCUUUUGGUUAUCACUCCAUCACUGAAACUCUUUAGGAAUAAUUCCAGCCCCCUCUCCAGCAGCCAGGACUAUAAAUAAAGAUUCCCUGGGGAUGCUGAAUCCUGCCCUUC